rnacentral:rRNA from 1 species
UGGCUCAAGAUGAACGCUAGCGGGAGGCCUAACACAUGCAAGCCGAGCGGUAGAGAUCUUUCGGGAUCUUGAGAGCGGCGUACGGGUGCGGAACACGUGUGCAACCUGCCUUUAUCUGGGGGAUAGCCUUUCGAAAGGAAGAUUAAUACCCCAUAAUAUGUUGGAUGGCAUCAUUCGACAUUGAAAACUCCGGUGGAUAGAGAUGGGCACGCGCAAGAUUAGAUAGUUGGUGAGGUAACGGCUCACCAAGUCUGCGAUCUUUAGGGGGCCUGAGAGGGUGAUCCCCCACACUGGUACUGAGACACGGACCAGACUCCUACGGGAGGCAGCAGUGAGGAAUAUUGGACAAUGGGUGAGAGCCUGAUCCAGCCAUCCCGCGUGAAGGACGACGGCCCUAUGGGUUGUAAACUUCUUUUGUAUAGGGAUAAACCUACUCUCGUGAGAGUAG